UUAGACAAUGCAUAAUUUAAUACAGGUUAAAUUUAGUUUUAUCCAUAACAUUUACUAAUAUUUCACGUUGUGCAGACAUUUUAGAAACUUUCCCCCUUCUUUGUGUACAUAGGAGUCUCCAGCCCCGAGGAAUUGACAACCCUGGAGAAAGUGUUCAAGACACUGACGGGAAUCGGUUACGCCAGACACCACCUGAAGCAGUUCAGCUCUGUGUACAACCCCAGUGAUGGAGCACAUCAGGCUACCUACCGGCCGUUCCUUAGGCAGGUGCUAGAGGAGAUCUUCCACCCAGACAGGCGUGAAUGUCCUGAUGUAGAGCACAUGUCUGGAGGACUCACUGACCUUCUCAAGACUGGCUUCAGCAUGUUCAUGAAGGUACUAGUAAUGUCCACUAGAUUGCUGAGACCUUCAGAUGUUCCUUACUUACUUUUCAACACAGACUGACAUCGGAGUAAGGCACUGAUCGCAUACACUCACACUGUUGAAUACACUGAGUCCAACCCAAGAUCUUUACCCAGCUAGUGUGUCUGGGUUACUGAGCUAUCUGAUCUGAAUAGUUUUGGGAUAUUUAAGUGAAAGACAUACAGUAUACAACAAGUUCUUGUUUUUGUAAAACUUCCCAUUCCAAAACUUUUACAUGUUGUUGCAUGCGACUAGUGACCUAAAAUAUUGUCUUAUACUUUUGGAAAAUCAUGCAUGUUAUUUAUUAAGUGUUUAUGCUUGUCCCUACUCCAGUUUGUAACGUUAGUGUGUGUAAACAUGGAUAGGCUGAAUGGAAAUCACACAGUCAGCACAAAUCUUGCACAUUUUACUCUCUCGCAUAUGUGAUGAAAAGAACAUGCACACACAGUGUUGGCAACAGAUUGAACAGAUUCUGCACUUUGAUGCUCAGUACAUUUUCCCCUCAUCUUUCACCCAAUUCAGCAGUGUUGUGGAGCAUGUUGGUGACAGGUAGUGACAGAUGGAAAGAGGGCAAAGGUCAAAAAAGGAGGGGAGAUCUUUUAGAGCAAAUAUCUCUUUUCUUCUCUCACUUUGGGUAGUUUCCAUUCAUACACGAUCAUCCCUAUUCCCUAAGGCUUUUACCACCACAGUCAGCGAUUCAGUGGGUGUAGGAGUGUAGGUCUGAAAUAUAAUGGUCAUUCGGACAACACUUUUUAAUGUAGUUUUGUGGGAAAUUUGGUUGGAAACAAAGUUACAACUAUUUGAAAGUGCCCUUCGAAAACGCCAUUUGCACCAUUUGGCGUGCACACAUGCUCACAUAGUAUUUAUUUUACAUUUAAUAGUUUUGAGUUUGUGUUUCACAAUUAUACCAGCAGGGUAUAACAAAAGGGCUAAAUUUGGUUGUCUUUUAAAUUACAUAGGAGCAGUUUCCCGGACAGGGUUUAGACUAAUCCAGGACUCUGCCUUAGUUAUAUUUGGACAUUAAAGUAGUUUUUAAAAACAUACCUUAAAAAAAUAGUGAGAUAAAACAAUGGCAUUGAUAUAUGUAAAUAUAGGUCAGGGCAAGAUGUUUUUAAAUUAAGGCAGCUCAAACAUGCAUUUUUGUCUGGGACUGCCCUGUCCGGAAAACCGCCCUAUUGUAUCCUACUUUAAUGUUUACAUGUCUAAUGCUUUUAAUAGACAGUUAGACCAUUUGGUUUUGAUAAAAGUAAAUUUGGGGUCUUGGUAGUGCAUACACUGUGUCAUGGGAAAAGGUCAAUAUUUUAAAUGUAUAGCAUAGGCCGGGAAUGCCGGUUUAGUGUACACUGUGGCUAUAAACAUUAUAAAUUACCGUAGUAUCAUACAUGAUGAUAAUGUAAAGCCUUUAAAGGAAGUUUGAAAAAAAUUUUUUAUUAAAUGUUAAUUCACACACAGACGAUGUC